rnacentral:lncRNA from 1 species
UAAUUAAUUUUAUGGUACUAAGGAAUUGAACCCAAGAGGCUCUUUACCACUGAACUUCUAUUUUGAGACAGGGUCUAACUGAGUUGCCCAGACUGACUGAAUUUGCAAUCCUGCCUCACCCUACUCAGUAACUGAGAUUAUAGGCAUAUAUCACCAUGUCUGGCUAAUCCUCUAAAGUUUUAAAUUUCUGUGAUAUCUUCUGUUGCCACUUCAGGUUUCAUUACUGAAAGUUCAUUCUAUGUUGUGAAGAGAAGCAGCAUUUCUCAGGAAAAAAACAACACCUAAUAUAGGGAGGUAUAUAUGUACGUGUAUACACACACACACACACACACCUUACUUCAAGCAGACCUGCUAGUUUUAGCUUUCCUAUGCAAUACAUUGGAUUUAAUCUACUUGAUCCAAACCUUUAAGAAAC